rnacentral:rRNA from 1 species
CGUAGGGGGCUAGCGUUGUCCGGAAUCAUUGGGCGUAAAGCGCGUGUAGGCGGUUCGGUAAGUCGGCUGUGAAAGUCCAGGGCUCAACCCUGGGAUGCCGGUCGAUACUGCCGGACUAGAGUUCGGAAGAGGCGAGUGGAAUUCCCGGUGUAGCGGUGAAAUGCGCAGAUAUCGGGAGGAACACCAAUGGCGAAGGCAGCUCGCUGGGACGUUACUGACGCUGAGACGCGAAAGCGUGGGGAGCAAACAGGAUUAGAUACCCUGGUAGUCCACGCCGUAAACGAUGGGCACUAGGUGUGGGAGGUGUCGACUCCUCCCGUGCCGGAGCUAACGCAUUAAGUGCCCCGCCUGGGGGAGUACGGCCGCAAGGCUA